CAAGAAACAUAAAAGUGCAAUUUCAUCAAAUAAGCCGAUUAGAACUUGCUAAUAGAUAACAGCCAUAAUAAGUACAACUAAUGUGCAACAAUUUAUUUUUUUACUAUGUCUGAAGAGGUGUGCCUUUAGUUUGCGGCAAAGAAUGUAAAGACUCUGCAAGCCGAGGCUGACAUAAGGACUGACACCCAAAACAGCGCGGGAGUUUCUGCUAGUGUGAAGGUGUUUGUUCACUACCCUCCUCUGGAAAUAAAAGUCUACCUCCACAACAAGUAAAGAUUCAAGACGACAGAGAGGCGACUCUGAAAGAAAAGGUUUGGAUAAAUCCAUCUGAGAGCAAUUACAGUCCACCGGCCAAUUGUCAAAAAAGCAAAGAAGCAUCGAUCAUCAUGGGGAAAGGGGAGAGCGACGAGAAGCACGGGGCCCCGAUUCAGACUCAGCCCCGCAAACACGAGGAGGACAAGAGCCCAUGCGGGUGCUGCUCGAAGAGCACAUACGAGGGCUGGGUGGAGUGUUUGAGCUGUACGCAAAUCUUGUGCGAGGCUCUGGGAAGCAUGAUCCCAGGCUGACCUUGAACAUCUGGACCAGUUUUUCCAGGCUGCAUUGAAUCUCAGCGUCCACCAGCGGCUUUAGUGUGAUUUAUGCCAUUUGGAGAUGAAAAUAUUCACUUUGAUUGUACGUUUGUACUACGUUUGAUCACCUAAUAAACUUGCUUUAUAACUCAA